UACAGAGGGUGCGAGCGUUGUCCGGAAUCACUGGGCGUAAAGGGCGCGUAGGCGGCUUUUCACGCGUGCGGUGAAAGCCCGGGGCUUAACUCCGGGUCUGCCGUGCGAACGGGGAGGCUUGAGUCUGGUAGAGGUCGAUGGAAUUCCGGGUGUAGCGGUGGAAUGCGUAGAGAUCCGGAAGAACACCGGUGGCGGAGGCGGUCGCCUGGGCCAGAACUGACGCUGAGGCGCGACAGCGUGGGGAGCAAACAGG
rnacentral:rRNA from 1 species